GGGCACAGGCUGCGAGCGGGGACAGGCCUGUGGGCACGUCCAGCACAGACCUCUUGGCUAGAGUACAAGGGCAACAGAGAACCACACACAGGGAUCUUAACUGCAUGUGACAUAAUUGAUGUGCGUUCCUAGUUGAUCUUACGGUCUGGAGAGGGACUGAUGGAGGCGGGAGACCAGGGGAAGCCGCAGGGAUCUCUGGAGUCCUGUGACCUCAGGGCCGAGAGGAGACCUGGGCCAGCUUGUGCUUCCCAGAUGCUCCUGCCAAGGUCACCAGGGAGCUAAUGGCCUCCUGCAGCCCCUCUCCCUCUGGCUGGGUCCUCGGCUCCUCAGGCCGCCUGCCCUGGAACAUCGUGUCCCUCUCGAGGCUGCUGGGGCGUGGCCAGAAGCGUCCCCGACCUGCAGGUGGGCCCACCCCACCGCUCCCCACAGCCCUGCCCCUGGGCUGAGUCAAGUCGCUCUCUGGGCGGCUGUGACUUCUGGUCGGGCAGAAACGUUUCUGGUUGAGCUGUUGGUGGCUGAAGGUCCUUCCGGCCCCAGAGAGGAAAGUUUCAACGCUGGAAAAUUACCAGGCCAGGAAGCCACAAAGCCUGUGCCCCGGGGGGUGGUCUGAGAGGGAAGUUUCCUGGGCUGGUCUCAGCCGGCAGGAGAAUCUGGGCUCCUGGGAACUUUGACGAGCGAGACUCUCCCGUUCUCUGGAGGCUGGGAAAGCUGUGUGAGGCUUUCCUGACGUGGGCAGGGUCGGGUCAUUGUCACAGGAAAGCACGGCCUUUGGGACACGUGCAGGCUCUGAGCCAUGGGUUCAGAAGGCGCGUGGCCUCACCCACCUGACUCACGCCCGCACGGCGCCAGCUUCCCUCCCCCAGCCCCUUUAGGGAAAUUUUUCAGAGUACCUGGAAGCCAGGCAAAUACCAAGGGAGGGUUAAAUACCCAUUAAAUCAUUAAAGCAGAAAACACAACAGCCAGCCAGCCCCGGGCAGGGCAGGAAGUCCCGAGAGGGGCAGGCCUGAAGCUCAGCACCCAGGCGUGCGGGUAGCACCCUUCACCUCCAGCCGGCACGGGCGGCCCCUCUCCUGUCUGCAGACGACACGCACACUUGUCCCACCCUCUCUUCACACACACCUCCUCUCUGUUGGUGGAGGGCACCUGAACCCCUCCAGUUCCUCUCUCCGCUGCUGCGGGGAGCCCCAGGCCUGUGCCCCACACGCCAGCACACACCUGAGGCUCCACAGGCCCCGGGAAGGCUCCCAAGUGCCCCCAAGGAGACACCAUGCAGAAGCCAUGCCUAGCUCCACUCUGAGCCAACCACAGAAAACUUCACUGAUGGACCUGAAACCGCCGCAGCACGCCUGAUGGCUGUGGAGGACGGUGUGUAGAUCCUCGGCCUUGCAGGUCCCAGCUCAACCAGGUCAGGCCGCGCUGCCCGCCUGUUGGGGUUGGUGGGCAUGCCAUGGGCCCUGGAGCCAUGGCCACCUCAAGGCUCAGGAGCGUCUCAUGGCAGGCACCACGAGGCCAUCUCCCCGGGUGACCCAGUGCCCUCCGUGGGAGGUGACUGUGCAGGAGGCAGCACCAGCCUGCCUGGCACCCACACA